rnacentral:tRNA from 1 species
GCUCAUUUAUUUUAAAAUAAUUAAAAUAUUAAUUUGUGGUAUUAAAGAUCUUUUGUGAGGUUGGGCU